GGGAGAUAGGAAGCAAACACAACAGACCAUCAUUUCAGAUGCCUCCUCAGGUGCUGCUGUGGAGACAGCAAAGUUUCCAAACCCCACAUUUUGCUGCAGUUACCACUGAUUCUGCAUUUGUGGGCAGGUGUGGGAGAGCCAAGGUGAGUGGUCAACAUAGCAGGGCUACUCUUAUUUAAGCAACUUCAAUCUCUUGAGUUUCCCCCUGGGAAAUCUGAUGUUUUUGCCUUAAUGUGAUGCCACCAGAACAUUUCUGAUGAAGCACGAGGUAAAUGACAGCCAGCAUCACGCAGCGGGCAGCACUGAAAUAUUCACGAGCUGGCGAUGAACUCUGUGCUGUUUGGGGACAGCCUCAGCAGAGGGUCUAUUGCACGUGUGUAAGGUGAGCAAAGCUCUUGGAGUCCGCAGCAUUUGUGUUAGCAGUGUGCUAAUUACUCUUUUCGUCCCUGUUGACUAUUUAGGACUUUGAAAUCUUUCAAGUAUCUAAGGAGGAAAUUGUAACAAUCUUGGGUGUUUGCGUUUAGUUUCCUGACAGCUAAAUGGAGUCACUUAAAAUGUUGUGUGCUUCAGCCUAUUCAUCAGUAUGGGCUAUAAAAUCCCUACACAGCAAUCUAAGCCACUGCAUCUAGCCAGCCUUCAGACCCUAUGGGACACUAUAGGGCAAGGCAGCAGAUGAAAGGGGAGAGGACAGCACAGUGUGAGGACACGCAUGGGGAGGAUGGGGGGCCUGCAGAGCUGGGGGCACGAGGAGGGAAAGGCUGCCAUUAAAUGGCAUCUGGGACCAUAGGCUGCUGCAGUCCCCCUGAGGUGCCAUAUUCCCGGGGACACACAUGGUGCUGCUUCCCAAGCAGGAAUGGCCAGAUGCUGCUGCUGCUGAUUUCUCAUUUGACUUCUGAUGUUGGUGGCGUUGCCAAUUUAGUGAAUUGCUUUCAAACGAUUCCCCUGGUGACCGGUGGCAAAACUCCCACAGAUUGCAAGAGGGACAGGGCUGGGCAUUUAAUAACAGCAGUUCUUUUGUGUGUGCUGCAAAGCCCCCGGGAGCCCCAGCGACAGGCCCGGGGCUCAUUAGGAUGGUGCAAACAUAAAGCAAAGAGACAGUCCCUGCCUGGGAAGCUUGUGCCCGUAUUGAUCUGCCACUGUGAGAAAAGGACAUCUCCUACCAAACCUGGCAAGGCUGCUGCACGUGUCCUUUGCUGAGGGGGAAUGUUCUGUCCGGAUUUAACCCAGCUCAGCUGGGUGCUUUCCUGUUCAGAGUGAGUCUUGCAGUAAUUGGCAGACCCAAGGAGUGAGGGUGUCAGGUUGGAUAUGUGCUGAGUGCUGAGAGUGCAUUCUCUUGUGCUGGGUGCAUCCCUGGGUGUGGUCAGAGGUAGAAGUGCUUUAACUUUUGGGUCAGUUUUUGGGGUCAGUUAUCAGAAAAAGACUCUGUGCUCAUGGACACAGAAGCACCUCAAGUCAUUGUCUAUUUAUAUCCCAACAAAAGGCAGCAUAGGAUUGAAAUCUGCUGUGGCCGCACUAUCUGCUUAUCUUUUUCCUAUAUUUUAUCUUUGAGCAGUUUAUAAUGAUUUGAUAAUGACUGUAGCCUACUCCAAGGAACCUGCUUUAGUGGGGUUGGACAGGGGGAUCUCCACCCCUCCAACCCCUACAGUUCUGUGAUUUCAAAGGACUUCUCUAAACUGCUUCUGUGACAGUAUGAGAAGGGACUUGCCAGACGCGCCAUGUACACGGGGUGGGUUGUAUCACAUCUAGCAAAAAGCCCCAGAGGUAAUUUUUCUCUAUUAGUUAAUUAAUGCGAAGAGAAACAAAACAUACUGUAUUCCCUUGGGUACAAUGGCUACUUUCAGCUCUGGAAUUUAAAAGGAGGCUCAUAGGUACCAUGUAGAAUUUACAUAUGUCUCCCAGUACUGGUAAUAAAAUGACAGCAGGUCAAACAGCAUUAAGGGAAUCUGGGCUUUGCUCUCUCCUCUGCUUUCUCCUUGUUUACCAUCCUGUCUGUUCGCAUCGGCCGCGCUCUGUGUGCUGGCACCUCGGGGAAGCAAUGCAUGGGCUGUGCCAUCAGCCACGGGGCUGUGCUCGGCCCUAUGCUGCCUUCCUGCUGUAUGCAGCUGCAGGAGCUGAGCAGGAGGGCUUGCAGCUUCCUUGCAUGUGUUUGCAGUCACUUGGGCCGCUGCUCUUUUGGUUUUGCAGGGAGCAGAUUAAGUGCAGAAAGGGCAAAAUCCAAACUGCUUUUCCCUUUGCCUCGCUAAGACAAAGAAUUAGGGCUGUCCCCAGCCAAGGUCUUGUGCUGAAGAACGGCUGCAGGUCCUGAAGGCUGAUGUGGGAACAGCAGCUUGCAAAGGUGUUACAGAGGGGGCAGAAGUGGGAAGGAGGGUCUCACAUCUCCUGUGAGCAGGAUGCAAACUCCUUGUCUCUGUGUCUUGUUAGACGAGAUCUGUGUCUCAUUAGAUGAUAUGUACAUUUACAUAUAAGCCCAUUUAUUCUUGAUUUAGGUACACAACCUUCCAGUAAUCUCUAAAUGAUCUGCAUUCAUUUCAUUUGAAGUGGCAGUUUUCCCUCCAGGAGUUAAAGCAGGGUUCCUGCUCUCCAUGCAGGGCUCAGGAGAAGUGGCUGCAUCCCAGUGUUGCAGGAGGCACCAAGGAUUGGGCCAACUUGCUUUUAAGGUCUGUACUUAGUGACUCCUGAAAGCAGCUUUUAGGAUCAUCAGUCACAGUACACCUACAAACAAUUUACCCAUCUCCUGUCUUACAGAGCGGCUGUAACUGUUUUUCCCAUCCCUUCCUCCAAACAAAGAUGACAUAAUGCACUUUUAUCAAGGCGCUGCUUAAUUCAUCUUUCCUUUAAAGUCCUUUUACUAAUCAUGUUUCUUUCCUAAAGCUGACUUGGCAUCAACUGAACAUUAGUUCCAAGGCUUUGUAUGAAAGAUAAAUGCAGCCGUGCUCGCACUCUGCAAGCUCGACUUCGCCCAAGCACUGCAAUCACGUCACCUCAGCAUCAUGACUGAUCGAAAUUGACAAGAGGAAAGAUGAAAAAAGAUUCGGGUUUUCUGGUAAAGCUAUGCAAAAGAACAACAGCUGUGAAACAGAAGAGGUAGAGAAAGGAAAUGGCUCAAUUAAAUCCAGCAGCAACCAUUCUGCAGUGUCUGCCCAAGGAGGGCACUCUUGGAAGCUGUUCUCAAGGAUUUCAUGGAGUAUGUCUCAAAGAAAGGCAGAAAAUCACAGGAUUAUUAAGGUUGGUAAAGACCUUGUGACAUCCCUAAACCCAAACCCAGCCCACCCCUGUGCCUAAUGCCCACAUCCCUCAGUGCCACAUUUCCAUGGUUCUGGAACACCCCCAGGGAUGGGAACUUCCCCACCUCUGGGUAGCUGUUCCAGUGCUGUUUUCUACACCAAGAUGUGAUGUGGAAGGGAGAAUUUUUGUAUGUGUGAGCACAGGAAUACAGUCUCUUAUAUCCUUUGGAGGGGAAGAUGGAAUAUUUAACUCAUAACUCCGUAUCCACUAGAGAGAGAUAAAUAAACUGCAGCCACUGCCUAACAGAUACUAAAAUACUGAGGAGCACUUCUGUAUACCUCCUGAGAGUAAGAUAUAACAUCCCACCGAGACGCUGUAAGUAUUAUGCCUUUCUGCGAAUGAUUACUGAUAUGUUUAAGUGAUGCUUUUAGAAAUACAAAUAUUGUAAUGCUUUUUUCUCCUCCUCAUAAUAAUAACUUCAUUUUGAAUGUAGAGCCAAGACUCAGGAUCUGGGUUAAUGAUGAGGAAGAGGCAAAUUUUCUGAAGUACUGCUGAUGUAAGAAUGUUUUUUCCCUUGGUUGCUGCAUACUUAGUUGGCAUUUAAGAACUCAAAGUUGCUUCUGACUGCUUCAAUCUGUGUUCAAGGGCUUCUUCCAUAGGAUUAGCACCUCCAGCCCCACUAAGUGUUCAGAUACCUAUAAUUAGAGUGUGAUGUACUCAGAUAAUACGAUAAGGGGGUAAGUGUAGAGCCUAAUCAAGAUUAAGCUUUGUUUUGGGCUUUGGGAUCUCAAGUUCAUUGUGUUUUCAGCCGUAAAUCAAAGUAGUGAUCUCAACUUAUGACAGCAUGCUGCUUUCUCCUUGCUCUUCCUCACACACUCCUUCAAUAACACAGCCUGUACUGUUGCAGAAGUGUUCGGUGGGGCUGUUUUUGGAUCACUGAGAACAAUAAUGCUGUAGGAGGCAGGCUCUGACCAACCUUGCUUUUUUUAAUGUUGGAUGCAUCUUGUGAUCACAUCACUGCUGGUCAUACCAUCAGCCAUUGCUUUCAGAACUACCAUCUCCCAUGGUUCAUGUUUGUCAGUGACAACAUUCCCCGAUGCCCUGGAAACGUUUGCACAGCUGAGCUCUGGAAGAUGGAGCAAUUCACAUCUGACAGUGUUUGCCAAAGCUGUACUUCUGCUCCCCAACCCCUCCCCCGUAAUUUAGAGAAACACAGCAAUGUCUUUCCCAAACAUACUGCUCUGUUGUCAUUUAAAAUAGGUAUCCACCAUGCAAGACGCUAGCAGCUUUGCAGCAGAGGACCUUGUCUGCAGGGUACUUCUGUCAAUAGCAAUUUCCGUCUCCCUGCUCUGAGCACGAGUUUUCGGGAGGCGAUAUCUGAUAGCAGUGGGAGACACAUGAGGAUAAACGGGGCUAGCUGCUGCCUCCUUCUCCAUCAGCAGCUUCUGAUAUGCUUGGUUAACCAUUUCAUCUACCAGCCGUCUCACCCACCCUGUUGGUAAGACUGCAGUAAAACAGCACUUUGGGGACUUAUUUGUGCUGGCUUUCUCUUGAGACACCAGGCAUUUGCUGCCUCCUUGGGUCAAACUCUCUCCUGCCAACACAACACAUUCCUGUAGGUCUUGAGCAGCUACAGAUACCCAGAGCACACCCACGCACACUAUUAAUAGAGUAAAGCAGAGUUUUCUCCUUAGGGAGGGUCUGUUGAUGGAAUGAGCGCUAUGAAUGUCAGCUGCAGAAGUGGUUGCAUGGCUGCACCGAUUACCUGCAGGCAGGUAGGGACAGCAAGCAGCUGCCCAGCAUCACAUGGAGCAGCUGACUUCUUUCUGGCAAAUGAGGGUCUUCAGGGAUGGUUUGAAGACAUGUAAGGAAAUGACUUACAAGAUCUUUUGACAGCACGUGUUUCCAGAAACAGGAGAUAUAAGUUGUGAGGAGCUGACUGUGCAUUAAAAGGAGGGUAGUUGGCAGGGAAUCACUUCAGUUCUGGAGCAAACCAUUAGCCUGAUUUACUGCAACACUGGGAUAUUGGAUGUUUAGCUGACAAGCAUUCUGAACGUAUCAGCACAGAGCAGGCUGAUUGAGACCAUCCCAGCCCUCUGCCAGCCAUGCAGGGUGGGGAUUUGUAACAGAAGGUGCCCUGAAUGCAGCGUCCAUCCGAGCAAUGCCACGUGGGACUGGGUUUCCUUAACGGCACAGCUUUGCUCAGUCUUUGACCAACGUGGAGGUCCUCUAUUUAUAGGGAGUGGAGUGUUGGGGCUGCCAGGAGAGCACAGAAACACUUCGGUGCUCUUUUUUUUUCCUUAGGAAGAUUUCUCUGCUGACAACUCCUGAAAUCUUUUGCAGCUCUUAUUUGAGUAAUAGUGAGCAAAGGAGAGCAGGCAUGCCAAAAAAAUAUUCCUCUUUGCAAAAUUCACAGCACAGCAUCUCUCUGUGUGCUGCGUUCAUUGCUUUGAUUUUCAACCAGUGCAACCCCACUGCCUCACUGGACUGACACACAAUGGCAAACACGGCCACUGAAUUGACCUUCUCAUCAUUCCUCUUGUGAAAUUACUGCUGUAGGGAUGAGUGGGUGAGGCAUCUCCUUUGGCUUUCAAAGGAGGUGAUGGUCAAAUAGGGGCUGUUGUGGACCUGCCCUCUCCACACUGGCCACGGGGGACAGAAUUAGAUUAUUUCCCUGUAAACUGGCACGUUCUCUGUUCGUUUGUCCAGAGCUUGAUGAUUUAUCUCAUGCUGUUUGCUGACAGUUUCACAGGUCUGUCCUUAAGUCACUCGAGCGAGAAGGCUCCUAUGAGCCUGUGCCAGAGGACGCUUAAUGCUGUCACUGCAGAAGAAAUCAUGAAGUAUUGAUGCAAGUCGUGUGCAAAACACACCCCAAGUGAAUUUGCUACCCCACAUGGCUGCUGUACUGCUGCCUUCACUGCCAAGGGGGAUGGAGCCAGUGGAGGAAAAAGCCCUGGGAGGUUAAAUACUCAUUUACUGGGCGUCUGCCUUUGACCAUGGCAACAUCCCAGUGAAUCUGGAAACUUGAAAUAUAGGUUGUUUUUGAGCCAGAUGCUGACUGACACCUCCUGAGUCCUGACAGUCAGGGAGAUUUUUUGUCCAUUUGACAGCUGGUAUUUUUGUUUCCUCCUGAAGAUGAGUUUGAUGAGGAGCAGUGCUGGUACCUGGGGUUACUGUCAUAUUUUUGCCAGGGUAGGUCUUGCUUGCAGAAAAUGCUCAGUAUCUAAGAAGAUGGAUAAGUACUGUAUUCCUUGUUGUGGGGAGCUGAACUGCUUACUUUUAAGGAACCAGUAGGUAUAGGUUGUGCGGAUUUGUAUGCAACAAUAUAAAACGAACAAAUGCAGAAAUGACGCUUUGCCAAAGACUGCUUUAAAAUUCUACGAGAGCCUUUUGUUCCCUUAUAAGAUUCUAUCUGGGACCUCAAGUGAUAUUAGGAAAUCUGUGGCAACAAAACUCAUUUCCCGAAGAUUCACCUCACCUGCACAUCUGGGAGCUAAUAAAACACAGCACAGAGUCUGGCUGCUGUCCUUUGAAUUCUCUUCAGUCAUUACAAAACUGCUGCCAAAAGUACUAAGCGUCCUUGUGCUACCACAAUGAAUACCAAUGGUAUAAGGGAAAUGUAGGGCAGCAGCAAAGCAGAUAAGAUUUGAUUGUAUGUUACACAUUAUUUUGCGCUACCUCAUUUUCAUUUUCUUCGAGCACCCCUCUCACAAUCCAGUAUUUUGGCCACAGAAGUUAUGACAGAGGUUAUUCAGCAAUGCUCCUGUUCCUUUCCCAGCUGCCUUUUCUCAGCCAGACUGUAGAUGAAAUAGUGCACUGCAUUAUUCCACCCCAGUAGUCCCUUCGUGCAAUGCUGAAAACCAUCUUGUAACCAUUUUCAAUUUGUUCCUUAUUAACUAUAUCAAUCUGUGCAGCCUCUUGGCUGGCAAAUUUGGGGGGAAAUUUUCUGUGGUUCUGUGACUUAUGUGUCUUAUUAUGUUGCCCCUUUUCAUGGGCCUUAUUGACAGAAUGCAUUUGUGGUUGUAUUUUCUUUGUAGGAAGAAUCACUGACAUGCUUUCUGCCCUGAUGUUUUGCAUUUUGUUAAUCAUCUGCAUAGGAGAAGAGGAGUAAUUCCUGAGCCUGGAUAUGAACAGUGCCAAUUACGCUGCUUGAGGAACUUUUUGCAAUCAGAGCUAACUUAGCCCUGCCACAACAACGGCCCCACUUUCUGUGCUCUGCCUUCACACCUCGUCUCGUCCCGCGUCUCACGCAGCGCUCCGUUAUCCCAGCAGCCCAGAAACUUGUCUCACCACUCAUCUCCAUCCUUUUCUCCGCUGUCACUUUGCCAAGGCUGGUUUAGGAUGGCUCUGUAGCUGUUCAUUUAAAAUCAUUUGGAGGUUGAAUAGAAACCUCCACUCAUUUUGUAUUUUCAACCUUGACUAAAACUUGUCUAACAUGCCAGGAGUUGCUGUUGGGUUCUCAGGGUGGGCAUCUUCACCCAGCAUGACUUCUUACUGCAAGUCAACCUCCAGCAGCUUUCCUGCUGUUUAUCUGGUCCCAAAUGCCUUGAAUUAAAGAGGUUCUUUGUAACCAGUUGCACAGUGCAUCAGAGGCCAACCUGUUAUCCACAACUGUAACUACACAGUGGCUGUCGUAUCUCCAGCACCUCAGACAGCAGUGGGAAAUAAGAUGUGCUUCCCUGUAUGCCAGCUAGGAUUCAAAUACAUCUUGAUUUGGACCAAAACUAACAUUUCUCCCCAGCGCUCUUGACCGUGGCAUACAUCCACUGGUUUGAAAUUUGCUCAUUCAGGCAGAUUCCUGCCAGUCUAUCAAUCAUUGCAAAAAGGCUGAAAUGCCAAAUUUUACCGGAUGCAAUUCUGGGGACAGAUAGUCAUUUUGUCUGAUGAAGCGUUCAUAUGCUGCAAAAUGACAAAUUGUGUUUAUUUUCACAUUGUCAAACUGUGCUUUUUUUCCUGUGUUGGCACAAAUGGAAUCAAGUUUCCCUUAAGGCAUAGUUUGGUUUUUAUCCAUCUGGUUUCCCUUACUACAGUAAGUCAUCAGUUCUCCCUCAUUAACAUGGUGAUCAACCAGGACUUGAUGGUUUCACCUCUUGCAAUCGCAGCAUGUCUAUGAAGCUUCUAUCAUGGCUCAUCACUACCUGGGGGAAGAAUUUAAGGAAAUGGCCAUUCACAUCUCUUCAAAGUCCCUGGUGAGUUUAUAAUUUGAGACACAGGCAAGGUCACAUCUAGGGGAUAAGCACUGUUCUGGAGCAGAUGAAGUACGGCAAGUACGUGCAUGAUACAUUGUCCCCUGUAUCUCCUACCACCUCAGCUUUUCUACAUCUACAGCCUUGAGCUGUGGUCUUCUCAUUCUCAGUCUGUACUUUAGAUUCCCUUUAGUAUUAGAAUCAUAGAAUCAUUAAGGUUGGAACAGACCUCUAAGAUCACCUAGUCCAACCAUCCAUCUACCACAAAUAAUGCCCACUAAACCACGUCUUCAGGUAUCACACCUGCAAGUUUAUUCUGCAGUUGUCAAACAGCAGUCUAAAACUUAAGAAACUAGGAUGCCUGGGGUAAGGAUGCACCUGCAUUUUCUGCGAUGGGCAAAACCUCCUGAUCUAGUCAAUAGGAAAACAGUUCACAUUAUUGAUAUUCCUUGUGAUACCUCUUCAUGUAGCAGCAGCUCACAAGUCGUCACAUAAUUACUUCUCAGCACACAACGAAUUAUUGUCUGCUCUAAUAGCGGUGACGUCUAGAACUGAGCUCUUUAUUUUGGCUUUUCUCUGCUCAGCUCUGUGGGAGCAAGUUAUUCACACACUUGAAAAUAAAAAGGAGAGAGGGUUACAUUGGAAAGUAGUGACAAAGGAGCUCAUUAGUUUACUGAUAAGGAACACACAGAAUAUUUGGACGCUCCUGAAUCAGGUAAUCAUUCCAUGUCUCUUCAAUCCCUUGUGAUUUAUCGUAAGUUGAUGGCAUUUGGAAAAACAAUUGGAUAUUGAAGAAGCAAUAGGGAAAUUUCAGUCCAUAAAUUGUUUUAAUUGAAGGCAAUGCUUGCAAUAUGCCUGUCUUCAUAAUGCUGCGACCUUGAGUUGGAUCCGCAUUCAUUUUGGAGCAUGUCUUCCUCAUUUCUAUGCCAGCUUGUUGAGUUAUACAUAGAAGCAAAGCCUCUAGAGAUUGAUCAUGCACAAUCAGUGAUGCGGGUCUGAAACAAGGCAGAUGAUGACAACAGGGAAUCUAAAGGUUAGGAAAAAAGGGUGUAGCUGCCAGGCCCUGCUGAUGGCUGGGAUUGGGAAACUCAAAGCAAAGGUUUCAAAACCAUCUGCAUGAUGUAUUAGUGGAAAAGAGAAUCACGUAAGGAGCAUGAGGUUGCUCACAGGCUUGGUGGAGGGUGCAUCCGUGGAGCAGCAUCAUGCAGGGGAUGGGGUGGGCUGAUCAAGCAAGGUUUGGGGGGAAAGGAGGAGGAGGAGGAAAGGGAGCAAGGAGGAAUGGGGGAAAGAAAAGAGAGCUGAGGAGGAGGAGAAGAAGGAGGAGGGUGGUGGUGUGUGGCUGGAGGCAAGGAGAGGGCCUAGGAGGAGAAUGGGAGCUUGGCAGAUUGGUAGUGCCUGCGGAGACGGGGACCAGAUGGCAACCUGGGUCUUCCCUGAGCCCCCCCCAACCUGUGCUUGCCUCCCUGUGCAGCUCCCCAUGGGCACCCCCAGCAGUCGGCACUCACGCUGCUGCCAGGAGGAGAGGGCACAAGGCACUGCCCAAUGGGAAUUCACAGCCUGGAAUUUAUAGUUCCUGGGACUGAUUUCAAUGCUUACAGUUAACAGAUGACCCAAUAAAUAAAAAUGUAGACGGCUACCAAAUAGGUCUCUUUAAAUGAACAGAAGCAGAAGGGAUUUCUUUUGGAUCCUGCACCUGAAACUUUCUAUUUUCUAACAUAAGCGAAAUAGUGACAAAUAAAAAUGAGACUGUAGAAGCAGCAUGACCUCCUUAAGCUUUAAUUAUUCAUUAGAACUGUUUUCUUCUCUGCUGAGAUUGAGCAACAUAUUUAAGCAGGUUUUUCCCAGGUUUGUGGAAGAUGUAGCUUCCAUAUUACAUUGGCUAAUAAAUACCACUAAGCACAAUGGCCCAACAGCAUUUGUGGGAAAAAAGCAUUUGGGAAAAUGUGUUCAAUGAAUCAGAAGUGCCUUAAUCUAGUCAGUCUUGAAAAGCAAAGCGUAUCAUACAAAAAUUACAAUGCACUAAAGCACAAAUGCAUGAAUAUUUUAUUGCUGAGAAUUCCGAGUUCACGUUCUUCCCUCUUUCAGUACUUCAGACUGCAUUUUACUAUGCAGUGUUUUUCCUGAUUCAGAGAAGGACAGUGCUGGGAAUAGCUCUGGGCAAUCCAACCUGGGAUUUUCAAUAAUGCAUCUGAGAGUCCCUGCCCUUAUCAGCGUCAGACAUGUCUCUCACUGUAACUGGAAUGCUCCUUGCUUUGUGCUAUCCUAGGGUGACAUGGAAGUGCCCAAGAAAGUGCUGAAAUGGGAGGAGAAAACCAAGGAAUCUUCCUUUUGCUGUGAAGUAUUAACAGGCAGGUGAGCUGUGUGCCCGGCUCCAUCACAGCCCUCCCUCUUUGCUCCUCCUUCUCUCCAGCACCUAAAAGGUAUGGAAUGACCACCAGGGUGGGGUGGGACACGCUCGUGGCCAGGUACUGUUGGCUAAGCCCCCUGUACCUUGUAGGGCUGAUUGUUAAUUAGCCUUGAACGUGUGUUGUGCCUGUGAGGAUUAGAGCCUGCCCAUUUACAACAGCAUCCUGGGGACUAUGUUUCCUCCUGAGUUUUGAAAGCAGGACAGGCCCAGCUCGUCACCACCUUGGUGAGCCUUCCCAAGAGGUACGCAGCAGCUCUGCCUGCCCAGGAGCCCUGCCAUGCUUAGGGAGAGAAUCACAUCUCCUCUCCCCUUCAGACACCCACCUGGUGUGAUGCAGGGCAGAGCCGUGCAGCAUCCACGUGGCUCCCUGGGGUCCUCAUGCUGAGCCCCCUAGCAGCUCAUGUCCCCCUCCCCGCAGCCAUGCUGGCAGACAGGGCCAGGCAGCCCGAGGGCAGCUUUCCAACACCCGCGUCGCUUAACGGGGCCGCGUUCUGGUUCUUACUCAUGCUUUACAAUUCAGUGAUAUGCUGCCAAUGUAUUUUUGCCAAGGAGACAAAAAUACGUCUCCUCUUCCCACUCCCGCAUCCUGUGAGGAAUCUCAGUUGUGUGCAAAGAGAUGUAUAUUUGUGUGUAUUUGGGGAGGGUAAAUGAAGUUUCUCAUAAUUUACUCUCCCAUUGAAAGUCUGCCUUCCAGCUAAGGAAGAACUGCUUUCUCCAUGUGUAAAUUUGGGUAGAAGAGCCUUACAUUGUGCUGAGCAGAAAUGGCAGCAUGUGCAGUGGAAGACUGAAGCUUCUGCUUCCCAUCAGCAAAUCCUUUAUCAGCUCUGUGCCUCAUUUCCAGGAUGGGGGCAUGAGAGUUUAUGAAUAAUUUGUGGCUUUCUGGGCUGAAGAGCCCUAUAUUAGCAAAGUGGUCUAAUAAUGGACAAAGAAAAGAGGCAUAAUCCUUUUAAGGUGAGGAUCCCUCUUCAAACAGAGCUCGAAUCUCCCCAAGGGCCAGAGAGAUUCCAGGUAUUUAACAUGUUAACUUAAAUCAGCUUUCGGUUAAACAGGACUCCCCCACACAACCAUGGUUUUGGAUUCUGGCUAUGCUCUCUGUGUGGUUUGGGUACUUUAAAAGCACUUGGUAAGGAGAGGGGGGGACUGGAGGCUUUUUCUACGCUUCAAGGCAACUUUGCAAACUUCACGCUUUUCCUGCAUUUCUUUUUUUCCUCCUUCCCCUCCCUUUUCCCCCAAACCUUGCAUGACUUCAAGGCAUCAAAUGUUAAUGAAAGUUUGCCAGGCUUCCAGGUCUGUGAAAUGGAAGUUAAAAAUUCUGUGCUAUAGGAUGGCUCUAAAAAUACUCGGUGUGUCGAAAUAUCAGCUCCAGCAGCUCCCUGCACGCAGCGCUGCGGAUGCAUCAGCCCUCUCACUCCUCAAUAAGCUCUCAGAGUGUUGUCCUGGUGAUUAUAGAUCACUAAUGAUCCACAGAGCGAAUUCACCAGGCUAUGGGCCAGCAAAGCCUCCUUGAAAACAAAGAUCUGCCUGUGAUGCUUAGCUCUAAAACAGUGCCCUAAGCCAGCAGUUCUGGGGGUGAACGCCAUCCAGGUGAAUGCCAAAGUGACAGCCAUCCUCAGGGUGGGCUGAACCUGAAACACCAGCCCUAAGGUUUUGCAAGGCCAGAUGCCAUCCCACUUGUUGUUUGGCUCUUUGCUGCUGAUUAUUGUGCACAGGGUCUAGGUUUGUUAGCUGGGUUUCUACUAACCAGGCACGGCAAGUCCUAAAUCCCUCUGGGAUCCAUUCCUAAGCCCUCCUGAGCAUCCUAUGGAGAUGUGAGAGCUGCAUGCCUAGGAUGAUGAAAUGACAAAGGUAUGAAUGUAUUCCCCCCGCCACUGUGGGAUUUUAAAUUAGUUUAACUUUUAUUUCCUCCUGUUGACAAGUUGGGUUGUGUCGCUAUCCAGUGAUAAUGUUUCCAGAUAAGAAAAUCUUGAAGGUCAAAAUUUCUAUUCUUAGUUAUUCUCGUCUAAUCUUCUUGUGUUGGUGACAAUGUGCAGUGAUCUCAUGUCGCCAUGGGUACCUGAAUCAUGCCUGUCUAGCAGCACAGUCCUCCAUGCUUCUCCUUACACUGUUGCAACUAAACAAAUAAAAAGGUAUGUUUAAGGAAAAUGUCAUGCCUGGUGCAAGUGGACUGGAAGAAAUGCUUUUCUUGGAGCAAGCCAGUGACUCCACAUACUUCACCUAUACACAAUUUGGUGUGAUUAAUUACUUAAUUUGUGCUCGGCUGUACCCAGUGAGAAUUUUGCUACAAGUGCUCCAAAAUGCAGACUGGGUUCUAUGUGUUAUCAGUGAGAGUUGUGAUGCCUAUGAGCAGAUUGAAAUGGCCACAUUUCAGAUGGGUUGCUUCAUCCCAUGGCAGCCUGGACGAGCAAUCCUUUCUUAUUGAUGGGAGGGGCUGAAGUCUGUUUGGGUCUUUAUGCUGGAAGUCCUUGUGCAAUCUUUAAAGGGGGAAAAAGCUACACAGAAGAAAAAGCAUUCUCUCCAAGAAAAGGGAUCAAGCAGUGCACUGCAUUUCUCUUUACAGCAGGAUUUGCUUCUCACUAAAUCGUUUCCGACUCCAGGGGUGUGUAUCAGCCAGGUAGAGCUCAGGCCUCAGCUGCAGAGAUUGAACCUGUGGUUUCUGGGAGCAGAUCUGUGUGGACACCAUCAGAUAAACCAGCUUGUGCACGCUGCCUUGCUGCGCACCAGGGCUGUCCUUGCACUUCGCUGUUUGUACAAUCGAUAUUCAGAAUAUAAUCCUUUCUUUUACAGAAUCAGGGGGCUUAAUUCAACCCUGGAAUAAAUGGGCAGCUAACAAUGGGCGAAGCUCAGCUUGGACGCUGUUCUAGUUAAUUAAAAAGAGUAGCGUCGGGGGCCGAACUUGGCAUGGAGCGUUUCAGUGACUGGCUUCAGAGGCAGGGAAGAAAAAGGCUCACUUAACUCGCUGCAUCCAGCUCUUCAAAUGCAAAUUAACCUGUCAACAUCUGCAUGCAGCCACCCCGGACAGCUGCAGAAGGAGCUCCCAGCAUCCAAAGGAAGGGCUGGAAAUGUUUCGUUGCAAACAGCUAUUUUCUAGAAUAAUUUCUAGUAAAUAAGAAUACAUUUCAAGUGGUAAACUGAGCAUCUGCUACAUGCAACGAAUGGAGGACAGCAUGUGAAAAGAAACAUAUGUCAAGUAUGCACUUCAGAUGCAUUGACUGCUUGCUUCCAAAACAGAGCGAGCUUAACCAUAUUUGCAGCAUACAUGAAGUAAAAAUUUACUGCUGCAGCAAAAAGAAGAAUCUCAAGUUACUGCAGAAUUUUCCCUGGGUGAAAGAGAAGAGUUCAAUGCAUUUCAGCCUCUGCCAGGCACCUUUCUGUGAGACACAGCAGGAACAUCGAGCACCAGCAGCUUUUGUUUGGAGCAAACAACAUCCCUCCACCAUACGUUUAGAAACCCAGCAAACCGAGUCAGGGCUGGAGACAAAUCACACCACAUUCAGCACGUAGAAGACAUUAAAACACCUCUGUGCUUUUUAAAAGCCUCCGAUAUGGCAGAGGAGACCAAUAUCCUUACUCCAAUGGCUUCAGUGCAGCAGGAGUGGAGCUGCAUGACAGGCAGGGCCGUGCUGGUAGAGCAGGGUCUGCAACAAACCAUGACCCAAGGCAAUGGCAUUUCUGCAGUUCCUUGAGCUCCUUAUCCUCACACAAAAUCUGCUCUGACUUCAGCAAAGCUCUUGUUUACAAAACAAGUACAGGGUAAGGCCCCUUCAGCAGGCAAGAGGAGGAAAGAUUGGUUUUCUGCUCUGAAAUAUGCAGCUCUUCUUUAUGGACAGCACACAGGGAGAUUUUGCCAUCAUUGUAAAGGCCACAGGGCAGCUGUGCUCAGAGUGCUGCCACCUCCUUCUAGCAGCGCAUCCCCACCAAACCUGGGAUGUGGGUGCUGCUUUUGGUCCUACAGCCCUGCUCUGAGGGUGCUGCCAUUUCCUCUUAAGAAGGAUGGAAACCAGAAUGGAAACAAACCACAAGCAGCUUCUGCAGAAACCACAUGGCUACGAUAAUGUGGUACAAUUGAUCAGGAGUCUGAAAUCCCACCUUCAUAAAAGCCCACGCAAAGAUAGCUUGUGCCAACACUUCUACUCAUCCGUGGGUUUUCAGCCACAGUCAGAGCUAAGGAAAUGAUAAAGGCAUUUGUCUGCACUGACAGCAUUGGUCUUUCCUCCCAGUCGCCUCAGUGUAGCACUGCAUCCUAUGAAGGAACCAAGGGAUGGGCAGAGGAGAUGGAAGAGAUACGCCUCUGGAAAUCCUGGCACACCUGCUGCUCCAGGGAGAACUUCAGGAGCUGUGCAGCACUGCGGGACCAUCAGCAGCACUUCCACCUCUCUGCUGGGUUUUGCUUCAGUAUUUCCCCCACUAAAUCCCAGGAGCUACAGUUCUGAAAAUGAAGCCUUAUUAGAUGGCCAUGGCCUGAUGCAGAGCUGAGACAUUGAUCCCCUGGGCUCACAAGCAGCAUGGUGGGUUCACUAUUGAGGAGGAGCUCCAAAAAUUCAAUUUCCAUCAUGCCGCUGGCCUUGCCUUGACAUUUUCAUUGCUCCGCAGCUAAAUAAAUACACUCCAGGGAUAGCGUAAUAGCAAUGUAAAACAGCGAACGCUAUAGAACAGGGUUACCUAAUGGUUAAUUUAGAAAGGAACAUAUCAUUAAAAACGUAUGAAGGUGGCUACAUAUUGGUGCAGUAUAAAUAUUUAAAGGGAUGCCUCUCGUGAGGGCAGCAUUCCAAGCUACACCUAAAAGAAUGCAUGCGAAGGAAAAUUAAAAGAAUAUUUCACCAUUCAGACUUGUUUAUCUGCCUUUGAAAGGCAUUUUCAGCCCAGCUACUAAACAUUAGUAUGGGAAAGGAUAUCAGACAAAACUCAUUUUUGGUGUAAUUCUACCGAAGUCAGCAGAGUUAAACUGGAGAUGUUUUUUCUGGCCUUUUAAAUAGAGUGUAAUUUUCUCCAUGGAUAGUUAUUAAAUGCUAUUGAGAGAGAUUGCUGCUGCUGCUGCUGUUGGAAAGGCUUUCUGGAGAGGUCACUCUGUCCCAUGCGAAUAGCACCAGUGACAAACCAGGAGGUUUGCAGUUGUUACAACGUGAAGAAUCCCUGGGGGCUCCAACCACAUCAUACAGCCCUGUGUGGCCCAAAGCUGAGACUGUAUCUGCUGGGAGUGGAGCUCUUCUUGCAAUAAUGCUACCCAUAGAAAUUGCUUGAAGCAUUAGAGGGAGUAUUGCAAAGAACAGACACGCAGAUGCUUGGUCCCCAUCCACAGGAGGGCCUAUUUUCUAAGUAUACAUUCUGAGCCUCACCUGCUGCAUGUUCCCAUUUUGGGGCUGGUUAGGCUUGCAUCCCUUUCACCAGCUGCCCUAAACCCUGAUCGAUAAAGGCAUUUCCCCAUGCUUAAUUUGGACUCUUGAACCUACUGCGUGUCUUCAAGACACGACAGACAUUUUCAGGAUGGCUAAGCCCCAGACCAAAAGAUUCUGAUUUCUUGGCACUAAAGUACCCUCUGAGAUUACUGUCUGGGAAGGCAGCCUUGCUGUGAGCAGUUCUCAAAAGGGAAUUCAAGGAUCUCAAGAGAACUCCAUUGCCCCUCAUGUGGAGCGCUGCACCAGGGACCCAAGCUGCGUAGAAGAGCAGCAUCCAGGCUGCAGCACAGCAUUCAUCCUCCCACAAGGUUGUGGAGGCAGCUCCCCACCCAGCACACGUAUUUCCAUAGCAGCUCUUUGAAGGCACCUGGGUUUUCCUUUUGCCCACAUGGGGAACACAGCUGUUCGCCUGGCAGAUAGCAGGAGCUCCAGUUUUAGGCAGUGCAGCACUGAACUUUGGGUCUUACAUCAACCAAGGUAAUAAAUCUUGGCUAAACACCAGGGCCAAGCUGAGGGUAUUAUCAACCAUUUUACAAAAAGCUUAACAAGAAAGACCCUUGGGAUGAAAACAGGGGAACAGAUGAGACCUCAUAAUUUAUGUAUGUAUUAACUUCCCACUGGUAAAAUUAAAAUGCAAAUUAGCAUCUCUAAACAAAAUAGUUAAGCUCCAUCCCUUGAGACAGUUAAAAAAUUAAAGGGCAAAGUAUAUAGCAGAGAAUCUAUUCUUACACUUGUAGCACUUUGGGCUAGAUCGAAGGUAUUUUCUCCCUCUCGCAGCUACAAUGCUGAGCUCCAAAAAGGGAUUUGUCUGCGUAAUACAGCAAAGCUCAGCAAUAAUCACCCAUUGUGCUAUGUGAUGAGCCAUCCUUUUGGUUCUUCAGUAACCCGUGCACCUGGACUUUAACUAAAACCAAAUAAUAUGCACAGAAAACAUUUUUAUGUAAGAGGAGGUGAACAUCACUAAAAAUCAGAGAGCCUUUGUAUGGCAUGCCAAACUGCUGAAGCGAAAAAAUGUCUUCAGUGAAAGGGCUCAGAUGUGAGCAUGUUUCAGUGCACAGCUCCAGGAAAAACUCUGAUAAUAAAUGUGAGCUUGUUAUCGUUGCUUUUCAGCGGGAAGUAAAGCCGGAAGCAGGGUCGUGCUGGCUAAUUGAAGCUUACAUUUUCAUUCAAGCACUGCAUUUUAAUUAUAAACUGGUGACACAAGUGUCACUUAGUUCUUAUCCUGUUUUAAGUGUGCAUACGUAUUAAAAAUAUUUUCAGUUAUUAA